GGGCGCGUGGCGGAACUGGAAGACGCAACAAUUUUGGGGAUUGUCGGUGCCGAUCACCAUGCGGGUUCGAAUCCCGUCGUGCCCA
rnacentral:tRNA from 1 species